CCUACGGGAGGCUGCAGUAGGGAAUCUUUCUCAAUGGGGGAAACCCUGAAGCAGCAACGCCGCGUGGAUGAUGAAGGUUUUCGUAUUGUAAACUCCUUUUGUUAGAGAAGAUAAUGAUGGUAUCUAACUAAUAAGCACCGGCUAACUCCUUGCCAGCAGCCGCGGUAAUACGGAGGGUGCAAGCGUUACUCGGAAUCACUGGGCGUAAAGAGCGCGUAGGCGGGAUAGCAAGUCAGAUGUGAAAUCCUAUGGCUUAACCAUAGAACUGCAUUUGAAACUGUUAGUCUAGAGUAUGGGAGAGGUAGGUGGAAUUCUUGGUGUAGGGGUAAAAUGCGUAGAGAUCAAGAGGAAUACUCAGGGCGAAGGCGACCUGCUAGAACAUAACUGACGCUGAUGCGCGAAAGCGUGGGGAGCAAACAGGAUUAGAUACCCUUGUAGUC
rnacentral:rRNA from 1 species